UACGUAGGGAGCAAGCGUUGUCCGGAAUCAUUGGGCGUAAAAGCGCGCGUAGGUGGCUUCGUAAGUCCGUUGUGAAAGUCAAAGGCUCAACCUUUGAAUGCCGAUGGAUACUGCGGAGCUAGAGUACGGAAGAGGCGAGUGGAAUUCCUGGUGUAGCGGUGGAAUGCGCAGAUAUCAGGAGGAACACCAAUAGCGAAGGCAGCUCGCUGGGACAUUACUGACACUAAGGCGCGAAAAGCGUGGGGAGCGAACAGG
rnacentral:rRNA from 1 species